AUGACAGCAAGGGGAGAGACUGAUAUUUCAGCGCCGAAGGAGCAAGCAAUCUAUUUUGUGAAUCUCUCAGGCAAAAAGACUCUUGUUGGACG
rnacentral:ncRNA from 2 species